rnacentral:rRNA from 1 species
GAUGAACGCUGGCGGCGUGCCUAAUACAUGCAAGUCGAGCGAACAGACGAGGAGCUUGCUCCUCUGACGUUAGCGGCGGGCGGGUGAGUAACACGUGGAUAACCUACCUAUAAGACUGGGAUAACUUCGGGACACCGGAGCUAAUACCGGAUAAUAUAUUGAACCGCAUGGUUCAAUGGUGAAAGACGGUUUUGCUGUCACUUAUAGAUGGAUCCGCGCCGCAUUGGCUAGUUGGGAAGGUAACGGCUUACCAAGGCAACGAUGCGUAACCGACCUGAGAGGCUGGUCGGCCACACUGGAACUGAGACACGGUCAAGACUCCUACGGGAGGCAGCAGUAGGGAAUCUGCCGCAAUGGGCGAAAGCCUGACGGAGCGACGCCGCGUGAGUGAUGAAGGUCUUCGGAUCGUAAAACUCUGUUAUGAGGGAAGAACAAAUGUGUAAGUAACUAUGCACGUCUUGACGGUACCGAAUAAGAAAGCCACGGCUAACUACGUG